rnacentral:lncRNA from 1 species
CUCCACAAGACCAUUGACUUUUGAGUUGUGUCUGAAACUCUGAUGAUUCUCUUGGAUGCUAUUUUUGGCCUCAAUGUUUACAUAUUUGGCUAACUAUGGUCUAAUCUGCAAAAUAUGGCACUAUGGACAGAACAACAAUUCAUUCUUAUUCUCAGCCGAAACAGGAAACAUUUUAACAUAUUUAUAGUGGUAAUCGCAGUUUACUUGUAUUCUAUGUACAAUUAAUUCAUGAGAGCACGCAAAUCAACAAACAAAAAUUCAAACUCUGAAGGAGAAAACAAGUUCAGAUUUUAAACUAAAGCUUGCAGCUAUAACAAUGCAAUUUAUGAGACAACACAUGAAGAACUAUUGCGAUCUUUCAUAGUAAUAUAGUAUCAUAACGACAAUUACAUCACUUGAGAUUAGAAGCAGUACCUUAACAGCAGUAAAAGUAACAAAAAUCAGAAAAUAUGCCUGUGAACUUGGUGAUAGCAAUAAGAAACCAAAAUAGCAGUAGAAAAACAGCAUGAGUAAAGAUACAACAUCAAAUGAAUGCUAAAGAAAAUCCAACUUCAAGAACCCAGAAUGUUUUUCUACUUAGAGAUCAAGAUGAAUGUAAUUUCUGAAAAAAUAUAGUCAUCUGUGUAAAACAGUCUCAACUUUCAGAGCGUAUAUUUGUGUGAAUUCUAUCUGAGUGAAGGGAAUGUGAGCCUCUUUUAUAGAGUGUAGGAGUGUGCCUUUGUGUGGGAAUAUUAUUUAUAGCUCUCUUAACUUCUGAAAAUAACCCUCUUUUACCCCAAAAUUGAUAAUCUCUGGAUUUUAUGUUGCAAUUUUGUCCCUUCUAGAGAUUUCCCUAAAAACAACCGAUAACUAUGGAUUCUAGCCUAUCUUAUGCUCCCUUUUGCUUAAAUUUUGGAUAAAAAAUGUGUAAAACUAUUCCCGAAAACUGAUUUAUUGUGCUUGUUUGCAUGGUUUGGUCAAAAUAACAGAAGAAAGCUAUAACGAACUCAUGAAAGAGUUAUAAUUACACAAGUUCAAAGCUGAGAUGAAAGCGCUGACUGCAAAGGAAAAGAGUGGCCUCGAAAGGUUCACCGCUGAAGCGGCUGCAAUUAUGCUAACAUCGGAAUUGAACGCAGACGAGGACUGCUAACCGUGAUUAAAUAGCACAGCCGUGGAAUACCUGACUCAGCCGUGGUGCAUAUUCCACUAAGAGAGUUAAUCAAGGUUCAAAGACCCUACAAAGUGAGCCCAAUUGAGGAGUGUGGUACGCCUCCAAAUUGUGCAGCUGCGAUUGAUGCUAAUGCUGAGACAGACUUUUUAUCCUCCCAGCGAAAUCACGUCCAAACCUAGCACAAAAGAGAAUAAAUGCGGUCCCCGCCUUCUUUUGCGUGACCGUGAAAGUCCAAGCAUUGAGGUGCUCAGUAAUGCGCUGACAACGGAACCUCCAUAAGGGUAUUUUUGUCCAGUAAUUUGGCUAUGUAUAAAUAGAUCUCUUUCAAAAUUUUAGGGUAUCUUUUGUAUCAGGAAACUCAUGAACAACCCUACUUUACCACUUUGAAUAAUUUUAGAGUAGCUUUAGCUUAUAUUCUUAGAUUUUAUUCUUGUAAUCAACUUUUCUGACUUAUAUUCCAUUUCCAUCUUUCAUUUCUACCUUGAUUAUGAGUAGUUAAACCCAUUAUCUAGGGUUAUGACCCAACCCUAGUGUUGGUAUUUAACGGGUCUUCAAUUUUAGGGCUUAAUUGUUUAUGGGUUGGUAAUAUUUAGCUUGAUUCAUGCUCUAUUUGAAGAAUUGGUGGUUGCAAACACUGAUUCGUGCCUUUAUGACUUAGAGUUUUCUUGAGAAAAAGGGACUAAGUCUAGGAAAAUUAAGCUAAUAAGGAAUUUGGGUGCACUCAAGAGAUUUAUAGCCCCAAUUAAAAGGUUAAACCUAGAGAUAGUAACACCCGACUUGAGCAAAUUUUACUUGCAUUGUUUGAAUAUCUGAUUAGCUUGAGAAAGACAAUUAGGGCAAAGUCACUCAAACUACCGAGAGGUAUAGAGUGAGCAAUUUUGUGUAAAGGUUAUAUCACGACCCCAAAUAUAACAAGCUUGUCUUAAAUUUUAGAUACCAUUAGAUACUCGCCUAGAUGUAAGUCACUUCUCUAGUGCUUUUUAUCACUUGAGUGAACUUUACAAAAACAUUGUACUUAGUUUAUUUUCAGCAAUCAAUAGCAUUAUAGGUAGUACAGUAACAAAUCCAAACAUGGAUAGAAGUGCAACUAAAAGCAAAACACAUUGCUAGAUUAGAUAGAAACUCAACUCCCAAUAAUGCAUUGCUAGAUUAGAUAGAAACCCAACUCGCAAUAAUAUUAACUACAUAUGGAAAUCGAUCUCGACCUUUUGGGUAAAAGCUGCAUCGACCACUUAUUUUCAUUAUAUAGUGGUGUAGGGUUCUAACCGAUCAUUUUUUGACAAUGUUGCUAGGGAAUUAAAUAGUUUUGGCUAUCUAGCUGACUAGUUGUGUGUCUUGUUUUUCUUUCCUUCUGUUUUACUAACUUGUGUGAGUUAAUAGAUUCAUAUAAAAAAUGGCAAAUAAUGAUCCUAUCGGAAAUGUUCUCCCGGUAAAUGAGGUAGAUGAUAAUGCUGAAGAUGAGGUGCCUCUACUGCCCCAAGCUCGAAGAAGAGGCCGUGAAAAUAUUUUGGACCCUGCCCUAGCUCCUCUGCGAGUAGCUCCUCGGGUGCUUCCAAAUGAAGGAUACGUAAGUACUUUUGUCCCACCUUUGAUCUGGGCAGGUAAUUUCUAAAUUACAAAUGUCAUGCUGACCUUAUUGGAGCAAAGAGGGUACUUCACAUACGCUCUCCAUCAGAAUGCAUAAAAACAUCUAAAAGUCUUUGUGGAUACUUGUUGGGGUAACAAAUAGAUAAAUGUGUUAGAGGAUGCAUUGAGAUUGAGAUUUUUCCCUUGUUCACUUAGAGGGAAAGCUUUGGACUGGAUCGAAAGACUACCCAACCACUCUAUCACUACGUGGGAUGAGUUGGCCGACAAGUUUAUAGCCUAUUUUUUCUUACCGGGACAUAUGGCUGCAAUAAAGGAUACGAUCUUUGCAUUUAAACAAGAACCAAAUGAACCCUUCAUGAAAUCUGGGAUAGAUAUAGAACUAUGGUCAAGGAAUAACAUUGAUAUGACUAAAGCAAUGAUCCAACAUACAUUUUAUCGGGGUAUAAACAAAACCAAUCAAUGUGUGGCAAACUAGUUUGCAAGGGAUAAUAAUUUUAUGAAGCUACCUUAUGCUGAGGCCUGUGAGAUUCUUGAUGAGAUGGUAACACUUCCUCAUCCUUGAAGAGUCGGGAAAAUGUUCCUCAGGGGGAUCCUCAUUUCAUAAAUCCUUACAAGGUAUUUCAAGACCAUGACCAAUUCAUAGCUGAGUUGACAACAACAAUGAACCAGUUAGCCAAAGCACAACUUCAGUAGAUUUAGGGACCAAAGCAAGUAAAUGCAAUGUAAGGGGUUAAUCUAUUGGUACACAAGAGGAGACAACAUGGGAAACAAAUUCAAGGCAAUCAAGAUCAAUAUGAGCAAGGUAGUAGUGGUUACAACCAGGAUGAUGAGUAUUGUGAGAAAAGUGAAGAGGUUUUGUAUGCCAACAACUACAAGGACAAAGAGGUAAUGCUCCAAAUCAACAAUGGAAAUUGCAAGGAAAUAAUCAGAAUUGGGGCAACCAAGGCCAAAAAAAUUGGAAUAGUAACAACAACUCCAACAAUUGAGGGAACAAUAACCAGAAUUGGUGUAACAAUAAAAAUUGGUGGCAACAACAACCAAAAAGGCUGGAAUAGUGAUAAUCAAGAUAAUUAGGGGCCAGGUUUUCAAAGGCCUCCAAUGUUUCAACAACCAAAUAACCCACCUCCAUUUCUAUCCCAAGGUCCUAGCUCGUCCAACAAUGAGAUAGGACAGAUUGAGUCAGUGUUUGAGCAAAUGAUAAAGAAGAACACCGACUCUGAUGCCCAAUUGGCGUCAUAUAAUACUUCUAUCCACAAUCUUGAGGUCCAAAUUGGUAUGAUUUUGCAAGAUUUAAACAUUCGCCCUAAGAGGCCACAACCUAGUGACACGAUAGUAAACACGAAGGGUAGGAACAAUAUGGGCCAUGCAAUGGCGGUGACCACAAGGAGCGGUAGAGGUGGUAAAGCAAGCACCUCCAAGCAAAAGGAAGUUGUGAGUGAUUAUGUUGAACUACAAAAAAUGAAGAUGAUCCUAUAGUUAUUGAUAAAGUGAGUGAAAAGAAGUUUGAUGGUGAGGUGAGAAUUGAUAUUCAUGACAAUGAAGAGGAUACUCAAAAUGACGUGAACCCGUCUAGGAAACACUUGAUAGACAUACCAGAAAUGCUUAUGCCUAAUGCAAAAGCUCCUUUGCCAAGGCCUCCUCCACCUUACCCUUAGAGACUUUCAAAGUAUAAGAAUGAAAACUAGUUCAAGAAGUUUAUUGAGAUGAUGAAAAGUUUUUUGAUUAAUGUGCCCUUGGUAGAAGCUCUUGAGCAAAUUCCGGGAUAUGCCAAGUUUAUGAAAGACUUGGUGACUAAAAAUAGAUCUAUGGAUUGUAAGACCAUAUAAAUGACUCAUUAAGUGAGUGCUAUUGUACACUCGAUGACUCCAAACCUUGAAGAUCCCGACGCAUUUACCAUUCCAUGUAGCAUUAGGUGUGCAAAUUUUGCAAAGGUCUUGUGUGAUUUGGGAGCAAGUAUAAAUUUGAUGCCUUACUCCAUAUUCAAAACUUUGGGUAUUGGUCAACCAAGAGCUACUUCAAUGAGAUUGCAAAUGGAGGGUAAAACAAUGAAGAGGCCGCUUGGUAUUAUUGAUGAUGUUCUUGUCUGGGUUGACAAGUUUAUUUUGCUUGCCGAUUUUGUGAUUCUUCACUGCGAAGUCGACUAUGAGGUGGCGAUAAUAUUGGAAAAGCCUUUCCUCGCAACACGAAAAGCAUUGGUUGAUGUGGAAGUAGGGGAGCUUACCUUUCUGGUGGUUGACGAAAAAGUUAUCUUCCAUUUGUGCAAAUAAAUGAGGCAGGCGAAUAGUACUGAGGUUUUUUCUUUUGUGGAUCUGGUGACAAAGGUGAUAGUUGAUGACAUGAGUGCCAUGAUCAAUGUGGAGGAUUCUUUGGAAGCUGUAUUGUUGAACUAUGAUAUGACCGAGGAUGAAGUCUUGGUAUAGUACAUCAAUGCCCUACAGGGAAUGCGUUCUUACUCUUGUGAGCCCUGUAAACUUUCCUUGGAUCUUGAGAACAGAAAGACUCUACCAACAAAGCCCUCAAUCGAGGAACCUCCCAUAUUGGAGUUGAAGUCUUUGCCUCCAUACCUCAAGUAUGGAUUCUUGGUCCCUUGUUAAACUUUACCUGUCACUUUUUCUUUAUGCCUUACUAACGUGCAGGUAGAUGCCACCCUUGAGGUGCUUCAAAGAAGAAAGAGGGAUAUUGGAUGGAGUCUAGCUGAUAUUCAAGGGAUAAGCGCUGCCUUUUCCAUGCACAAGAUUAUGCUUUAAGAUGAUGCCAAACCCUCCGUGGAACAUCAAAGGAGGUUGAACGGGGCUAUGCAAAAGGUCAUCAAGAAGGAAGUUAUCAAAUGGCUAGAUGUAAGGGUUGUGUACACUAUCUCGGAUAGUCCAGGUACUUCACCGGUACAAUGUGUGCCAAAAAAAUGGGUAUGACUGUGGUCAUAAAUUAGCAAAAUGAAUUGAUCCUCACUAGGACUAUCACUAGAUGAAGGGUAUGCAUGGACUACCAGACGUUGAACAAAGUGAAUCGCAAAGAUCAUUUUCCAUUGCCCUUUAUUGACCAAAUGCUGGAUAGACUUGCUGGGCAUUCCUACUAUUGAUUCUUGGAUGGGUACUCAGGCUAUAGCCUGAUUAUGAUUGUACCAAAGGACCAGGAUAAAACAACCUUCACAUGUAUGUAUGGUACCUUUGCAUUUUUCUGGAUGCCAUUUGCUUUAUGUAAUGCAUCGGCUACCAUUUAUCGGUGUAUGAUGGUUAUAUGUAUUGAUGGAGGAAUUCUUGGAAGUGUUCAUGGCUGAUUUUAGUUUUAUGGGUAAAUCUUUUAAAGAAUGGUUGGGUAAUCUUGACAUGGUGUUGGCUCGACCUGAGGAGACAAAUCUAGUACUUAAUUGGGAAAAGUGCCACAUUAUGGUCGAGAAGGGCAUUUUCCUCGGCCAUAAGAUCUCAAUGAAUUGUAUCAAAGUGGAAAAACUAAAGAUUGAAGUGAUUUCAAAACUCCCUCUUCCUACUUCCAUCAAAGGAGUGAGGAGCUCUCUUUGUCCUACGGGGUUCUACCGAAAGUUCAUGAAGGACUUCUCCAAAGUAGUGAAUCCCUUGUACAAAUUGUUGGAAAAUUAUGCAAAGUUUGUUUUUAAUGAUGAGUGUAUGAAAGCUUUUGAGCUUCUCAAGUAUAGAUAGACUACCACUCUCAUCAUCACACACCCAAUUGGAGCUUUCCAUUUGAGCUCAUGUGUGAUGCUAGUGACAUUGCAUUGGGAGAGGUCUUGAGGAAAGGGUGAACAAGAUGUUUCAUCCGGUGCACUAUGCAAGCAAAACUAUGAAUGAUGCCCAGGUCAAUUAUACAGAGACAGAGAAUAGUUCCUAGCAAUUGUGUUUGCAAUGGAAAACUUUGGGCCUUAUCUCAUGGGUGCCAAAGUGAUUGUUCAUACCGAUCAUACAGAACUCCAUUACUUGAUGAUUAAAAUGGACUCUAAAGCUAGAUUGAUGAGAUGAGUUUUGUUGCUCAAUAACUUGAACCAGAGAUUGUUGAUAGGAAAGGAAGUGAAAAUCAAGUGGCCGGUCAUUUGUCCCGCUUAGAAGAGGAGCGAGACCCAAAUAUGGUCUCCAAAUUAAUGAUGCAUUCCCGAAUGAACAACUCCUCUCAGUUUCUUUGAAUAGUACGUAUUGAUUCACCGAUGUAGCCAAUUUUCUUCUGACCAGUAUUGUUCCGAGUGAGCUCUCAUCUAACCAAAGAAAGAAUCUUAAUUGGGACAUCUUGGAUUAUUAUUGGGACGAGCCUUAUCUUUUCAAGAUUUGUAAUGUUGGUGUGAUUCAGAGAUGUGUUCUGAAAGAGGAGCAAAUGAGUAUUCUUGAUGCUUGCCAUUCCUCGCCCUACGGUGGUUAUCGUGGUGGGGAGAGAACUACUUCAAAGGUUCUUACUUGUGGAUUUUAUAGGCUUACUCUGUAUAAAGAUGCUGAUGAGCUUGUCAUGAAUGCGAUGAGUGUUAGAGACCUGGUGGAAUUUCCAAGAAGGAUGAAAUAACUCUCACCACUAUUCUUGAGGUUGACAUUUUUGAUGUGUGGGGCAUAGACUUCAUGGGGCCUUUUGUGAAUUUGUGUGGCGACACUUAUAUUCUGGUUGUCGUUGAUUAUGCUUACAUGUGGGUUGAGGUUGUGGCUUUGCCCAACAACGAAGUUCGGAGUGUGGUGGCAUUUCUCAAGAAAAAUAUCUUCACACAGUUUGGCACUCCUCGAGAAAUCAUCAGUGAUGGGGGUUCUUAUUUCUGCAAUAGGGUAUUUGACACUUUGCUUGCAAAGUAUGGUGUUGAUCACAAGGUAUCAACCCCUUAUCAUCUGAAGGCUAGUGGACAAGUUUAGGUCUCCAACAUGGAGAUAAAGAGAAUAUAUUCAAAAACUAUCAAUGCAAUUAUGACGACUGGCAAAGGAAACUGGAUGAUGCUUUAUGGGGAUACAGGAUUGCGUACAAGACUUCAAUUGGUAUGUCUCUGUACCAGUUGGUAUUUAGGAAGGCGUGCCAUCUUCUGGUUGAGUUAGAGCACAAGUCCUUGUGGACACUGAAGAGGUUAAAUCUUGAGUGGGAUAUUGCAGCAAAUCUCCGGGUAGAACAACAUAAUGAACUUGAUGAAUUUAUGUUUUAUGCCUAUUUUAGCUCGUCCUUGUAUAAGGACAAGAUGAAGUAUUUACAUGACAAAUAUGCCCAGAGCAAGGAAUUCAAGGAGGGUGACUUGGUUCUCCUAUUUAACUCUCGGUUAUGACUGUUUUCAGGAAAGCUCAAGUCAAAAUGGAGUGGCCCUUUUGAAGUGGUACAUGUGACUCCAUUUGGUGCUCUUGACUUGAAGAAUAAAAACUGUGAAGUUUUUAGAGUUAAUCGACACAGAGUCAAACACUACCUGGGAAAAUCUGAUGACAACCACGUAGUGGACUUGAUCAAUUUCAAACAAUGAUGGUAACAUGCAUUGUGUUUUUCUUCUUUUUGAUUUUCUUCUUAGUUUAGUAUUUGUUUUGGACUAACUUGUUGUGAGAUUUGUGUAGGAAUAUUUGAUUCAAUUCUUGACUAAUACAGGAAAAUUUUGCUAUAUAUGCAUCUGGACCACUGACUGCGCCUGAAAUUCCGCAGUCAGCGGAAGCUUUUUCAUGGGGCGUGAUUUGGUAGAGAAUGCGGACUUGAAAACUCCAAAAUGUGACCUCUUUGAUAUUUCAACCGCAUCCGUGAUGGCUUUUUUGCGGUCAGCGGACCUUAUUUCAUGGCCGCGACAACUUUUCCACUCUCGGUAGUAUUUUGAUUUGGUAACUCUUCAAAGUAGCCAAAGUGUGAAAUGCAGUGGAAUUCCACGGUCACUCCAAGUAGGUUGGUGUGGGCCCUCAUAGUUAAAUAGGAGGGCCCUUCUCCUUUUACCCAUUACUCACUUUGCACUCUCAAAAGAAAGUUUUUAUUGGUCAUCUCCUCUAAUCUGAUCCCAACUUCAUUGCUCUAGAUAACAGUUAGUUUACAUCACAAAAUCAAACAAUGGGCUUGUUCAAAUAAUAGCACUACUUAUAUAUUUUUGUUUCACUUUUCUCUUAGUUUUAGCUUCUUCUUUUUAAUUAGGGUUUAAUUAAUUCCCAUAAACUAGGCAUUGAUAUUAAAAAUUCAUGUGGGUACUUGUUAUGUAUUCCUAAUAGGGGGUAGGUUUGUUCAUUUUAGCACUUGAAGUGCCUAAGUUGUAUGCUAAGUGAAAACCCUAGGUUACCCAUUUCUCUUUUGAAUUCCACGACUGCGGUCGUAAUUCUGUGAUAAGUGUUUAUCUAAAGUGUGGACUUAAAAUUGGUUUGAAUUCUGCGGUCAGCAGCCUGCUUUACGAGGCCGCACUUCCUUUUUUGUGGACCGAAGAUUCUAAGAUCAGAGAAUUGCCAAAUUAGGUCUGCGAACACGUUUGUUUUUCCACAGACAGCGGUGCAACUUUUGCGACCGUGCCUAUUUUUUUGCUCUCAGCGGUACCUCUGAUUUAGAGAUUGGGUUGUCUGAUUCCUAACGUUUCGCGGCCGCAGUGCUUUUUCCGCGCUCCAUGAUUUCCUGUAUGCGGCCGUGCCUCUUUUUCCGCGGUCAGCUGAUCCUGAUCUUGAGAGGUAGUAUAUUCAAGUCCUCUGCUAUGCUUUAUUUCCAUGUGCAUUGUUUUAGCUUCAACUGCAAUGCUUAAUCAUAUGAAUUAUAGAUUAUUCUAAUUUUAUUUCAUGGUUUAUUCUUUGCAGAAAAUGGUCCGAUCUAGAGGUGCCGAUGAUGCACAAAAAGAGAGGGUUGAAUAAUCUCGAGGUAGGGAAAAAAGAGGACAAAGAAGUACCAAAUUACCAUUACCGGUCCAGAAAUCUAUAUGGAAGCUGCGAAAAACCAUCAAAGCUGUGGAUAGAGCCGCAUCCCAUCGGAGGGUAAUGAAUAUGUCCCUUCCAGAGAAGUUUUGGAAGAAGACUCAGAGCUAACACAUAUUCCCGUAGACUCCAAAAGGAGAUUCCAAUUGAGAUACGAGCCUACACCUCCUGUUUCUCCUGCUUCUUCUAAGUCGUAUGAUGGCUCUGAGGAAAGUAAUGAGUCUUCAGCAUCAGCUCUCCUCCAACUACACCUUUGGCCUCACCAGCAAACCCUAUUGAUGUACAUGUUGAGAUCCCCGAUGACGGAAAGGGUGGUGACACCUAGACAGGAGGGUAGGAGAGAACAAGGAACCCGAUGGUAUGUCAAGAAAGAUUUGUGAGUGAAAAAUCCUGCCACAUGUUUCGAGAAUGAUUGCCUCAAAGGUCACUUACACAUGAGAGGGUUUGCAUUGAGCGGGAUCUACUACCUUAUAACGCAAAUGUCAAGCGGCAAUUUUACGAGAGAGUGGGGUGGCAGUUCUUCACCAGCAACUUACCAAAUGCCAAUAAACACUUGGUCAAUGAGUAUUCUAAUGUCAUCGGUGAGCACGUAAUCUUUUCCUCACAUGAAUUACUCCUUUUGAAUUCUAAAAAUUAGAAUUUUCUUUAAUUAUUUGUUAUUUUAGGAAUUAUUGUAGAAUUUUCCUGAUUGUUUGCAUUUUUGUCUGCAUGUUUAAUCUUGUUUAAAUCAUAAAAAUACAAAAAUAUAUUACAUUUGCAUUUAGGAUUUAAUUUUACAUUUUUUGAUUAAUUAGUAAUUUAGUGUCUUACACAAAUAUAAAAAUCACAAAAAAUAACUUAUUUUUGUAUUUUUAAUUUUUAGCUUCGAAUUUUUGUAAACUUUUUUUAUUUGGUAUUUAGUUAAAUUGUGAUAAUUAUUAUUUAGAGAUAAUUAAUUUAAUUUGGUAGGAUAAUAUUGUUUAGGGAUUAAUUAAGGCUUUUUUUAAAAUUGUUUAAAAGGUAAAGAGGUUUAAAUUUUAAAGAAAAGGAAAAGAAAUGGAAAAGAGUCAGAUUUUUUGAGCCAAAUUCAUAAUUUUCGCUAAGCCCAAUUGUUUCAAUGCCAAUACCCAUCCAAAAAUUGGCCCAGUCCCAUGUCACACCCGGUCCAAACCCCUCAGUGACCCAAGCGACGUCGUUUCAAUUAUCCCUUGAUCAGGACCGUCGAUCUUACUUGAUCGGAAGGUCCGGAAUUGAGCCCUAUUUUAUAUACAACUGUCUGAUUGACCCCCUACCCCCUAACUCAUCUCCCUCAUCUCUUUCAUCUUCAGAGACACCCAAACCUAACCCUAAUCUGCCGCCCUAAUAUCCUUGUCAUCUCCGGCUGCUGCGCCGCCUCAAAUCCACACCACAUAACCCUCAUGACCCUCCCUCACACCAUGUCCAGCACUUGUUCCCCUCGAAUCCCCCUAGGUUUCUUCGAAUCUCAGAUCAAAGUCGAAGCCUAAAAAGCCUAAAACCCCCUAAAUCGAGAUUUCAGUGAAAAUUAAAGUCUAGUUGGAUUUUAUUUGUGUGUUCUUGAUAAGAUCACAUGAUUAAUGUCAAACUCGGCUUAUAUUUUUAGAUUUGAAGACUUUACUUGUCCGAGCCUUUGUAGGUAUUUUCCUUUUCUUUUGUUAUCUUUGCUUCAUUUCUUCUUUCAUUUUUCUAUCUUCUGCUUCUUUCUCUUCUUCUUGAUUCUUUUUGUUUUCCAGUUUCUUCAUAGUCAUUUUUGUUAAGCAUGUUAGCAUUAAGUUUUUUUUCUUAAUUACUUAAGCAUGAUUCUGCUGCCGUGUUAAAUUUUGUUCGAGUUUUAUUUGUUUAUAUUUUUCUUUGAGUCCAAGACCUUAUGAGUAUUUAGGAUUUUGUAGGUCAUUUAAGUCGACAAAUUUUGAUUGCUGAUUUGAACUUGGGUUUUGAAAUUAGUUGCCUAAGAAACGAGAUUCAACCUAGAAUUUACAGAUCCAUAACAAUUUGACUUGGGUCAAUUUUGACCCAUAUUUGUCUAGUUUCAGAAAUAAAAACAAGGGUAUUAAGGGUUAUUUUAGGAAUUCUAGGUUAAGGAAUCUUCAAUAACUGAAUAAGGAAGCUUCCUAGAAGUUGAGGAUUGGGACUAAUCUGAAAUACUGAUUUUUAACUAAGGGUAUAACAGCAAAAUGAGAGCUCCAAAAGGUUUAAUGUGCAAAACUUAAUCCAUUCUUUGCUUCCCUAAAGCUUGUCUAUAAAGGCACUCUUUCUUCACUCACAAGUCAUAUUUUAGAAAUAAAAAAUCCUGAAAAAAUUAAAAAAUGGUUGAGUUCUUUCUUUCAACAAAAGUGCUGAAAAUAGUUUGAAUCUUUGCUUGAUUUUGAGUUUUAGUGUUUUGGAAUAAUUCAAACUUGAAAUGCUCAAUAUAAAUAGUGCAUUUGAGGUUUUUGAAUGCUGGAAUGGGGUCAAGGAUUUAAGGCUUGAGUUGCUGGGUUUCUGCACUGUUACAUUGCUGAUUCUGCUGCUGUAUUUGCUGAUUCCUCACUCUUUUCGUUUCUCUUUUAAUUCUCAGGUACUCUCUCUGAACCAGUGAAUGGCAAAUGAACUUGUAAACUUGGAUUUUGUGUUUAAAAAUCAGGGAUCUAUUUUAAAAGCAAUACUUCACUUGUGUUUCAAGAUCACCCUUUAUGUGUUUGCUUAAACAUUCUUUAGUUUUGUCAAUUUAUCCUAUUUUUUCUUCAAAUGUCAUAGACAUAUGGUAACAGAUGUUUUAGUGGCUUCAUAUGGAAGUAUUGAGAUUAUGUAAAACUCUAAAGAGGAACCAUGUUAAAUCAUGUAAUGUGGAUUGUAUUAGAUCUUUGCUGCUAUGUAAUUCAUUUAAAUUGUUAUAAUAUAUUUGUUGUAUUUGGAUAGUGCUGUGUUCAUGCAAUUGGGUAGCUGAAUGUUUUAUUAAGUUUUAGUUGGUAUAAAGUCAUGUUAAAAAAGGGGAGGAAAUGGUCCAUAUUACUUUCAAAAAUUGAGCUAUGCGCUGAUUUGAUCUUGGUUUGCUUAUGAGCAUGUUCAAGUUUGAAUUAAUAUUAAAAAUGCAGGAUGAUUAACUAGUUGGUUUAUGUUUCAAUAGUUAAAAUUCUGAAGUAGAAGGUUUAGUUUAAUUUUGUGUUUUCUAUAGUUUUAGCUGAUUGGCAUUUAAAUGAAUUUGCAUACAUUUUUAGUUCUGAAGAUUGGGCCUAAUGCUGGCCCAAUUUGCACAAACGUUCUAUGUCUUGGAUUCUCUUUCUUUUACAAAGAAUCGAGCUUGUUUUUGGGCCCAAGCUUGAAGGCAUCUGCCUAUUGGUUUGUUUACCUUUCGUUGCUUGGACAUAUUUUGUUUCGUCAAAUCCAAUUUCCUCGUUCAUGUCGCUGUUGUCUGGGGCAAUGUUUCUUAAGUAAUUGAUUAUUUGAACACAAUGACUGUUAGUUGAUAAGUAGGGUCAAAUAAAAAUAAUUAGAAUUCCAUUAAGUCUCCCUUAAUUAAUUAGAUUCCUAAAAUGGGUUUGAGUGUGCUAUGUUAGUGAAAUGUAUAAUUUAUGGGCCUCAAAAGCUAAAAUAGAAAUCCUUUGGUUAGAAUAAUUUGAGACAUGCCAUGCCAAAUAAAAUCUCAAAACGCAUGGCCCUCACUCAAUUAAUCUUAAUCCUUAGAAACUGAGGCGUGACAUUACUAAAUUUUCUAUGGUGCUCAGAAAUAUGAAAGUGCAUAGUUGCUUUAGGUGCGUAAUUUGAAUUAAUUUCCUUAAACUCGAGUGUGCAUUUUAUGUGACCCAAAUUCAAAUCUCAACAACGUCAAAUAAAAUGUGUCAUGGACCGCAGAUGCAUUUUAUGUGGCAUGGUUCAAAGACGUGUUUUAGAUAAAGUUGAAUCUUUCUAAAACUAAUUAAAAGGGGUUAAAAAUUUAAAGAAUAUACCAUAGGCUAAAACAUAUAUUAAAAUCAGAUAAUAGGCCAAUUAUGAUAGUUUAAGCGACCGCGCUAGAACCAUGAAACCUGGGAAUGCCUAACACCUUCUCCCGGGUUAACAGAAUCCCUUAUUCAGAAUUUCUGGUCCGCAGACUUCAAAAGGCAAGUCGAAAUUUCCUCGAUUUGGGAUUUAAAAUAAACUUGUGACUGGGGACACCAAUAAAAUAUUCCAAGUGGAGACUCUAAAAAUUAAAUAAAUAAUUUCAUUUCGAAUAAUGUCACUUAAAUUGAAAAGCUGCUUAUAUCAUCAUCGUGUGGUAAAAAGAAGGUGUGACAUUGCCCACAUUAAAAAACACACAUUUUUUUUACCAAAUUCGGAACAAGAAGAUUAAGUUUGAUGGCAAGAAUCUGAAUGAUUAUGUUGGGUUCCAUAACGAGGAUGAGUCCUUGUAUCUAGAGAAGGUGGUUAUGGAUGAGUUAGCCCCCCUGUGGCUAGCAUUAGUGAUUAAUCUCCUAGGGACUGCUCCAGGGUGCCAAUCUACAUGAGCACUUUUAACUUUCAGGCGAAAGAUUGGGAAACAUUUGCGUGUAGCCAGUUAGAACCUACUACUUAUGAUAGUGAUAUGUCAGUCUCCUGGGCUAUUAUUAUAGGGUCCAUCAUGGAGGGGUACCCCAUCAAUGUUGGAAAUAUUAUGUCUAGGGUGAUCACUAGAGUGGUUAACAAGAAUUAGAGCUCAUACCCUUUCCCAAACUUUCUCACCAUGUACUUAGAGGAUCAAGAAGUUGAAGGAAGGGACUUUGACACUAAGGUGAAACCAAAGAGGCCAUUCUCCUAGUAUAGUCUUCAAGGUUCAGAGAACCCCAAGUCCAAGGGAAAAGCCACCACUUCCACUGGCCAGUCUGAAGAGCCGGGGGUUGUGGCCACUAGUUCCGAGCCUCCCACUGCCAUACUAUAUCAUUUCUCUGGGUAUCUACUUCUAUGCCUUCCUCAGUACCUUCUUCAUCAACAUAACCUCUGACUGUACUGAGUGUUAACUUGACUUUGUCCAACAUAACCAACUAGAUGCAGGCAACUACAUCAAAUAUGUCUGUCCUAUCCAGCACAGUGGUAGCUCAGUCAGCUCUGAUACAGCCUCAGGUGUCUGCUUCAGUAGAGGAAUCACUUAAGGAGAUUUUGGACAGCUCGAAAAAGCUCCUGGACAACCAGAAGCUGAUCAGGACCACUUUGGAAGAGCAUGGAAAACAAUCACGGACUUGAGCAAACAAACAAUGUUAAUGAAGAAGACUCGAGCCUCAAAUGAGUCAGUAAAGUUUCUAAGGAAGGAAUUUGAAAAUAUUAGAUAAGCUGGAGACAUUCCGUUGAACCUACUAUUGGAGGAGCCAGCUCCAGCAGCAUGCAGCACAAGCACUAGAGCAGAAGGCUGACAGAGAGCCCGUGAGGAGAGAGGUGAUUUUCCAGGCUGAUGACUUGGAGAUUGAGCAGGAGGACCCCGAGAGAGGUGACUUAGGCCAUAGGACCGAACCGGUGACCCCAUGCAGACAGAUGAAACAUAGAGAGUUUUCUUUACUAUCUAACCCUUCUUUGAUAUUAUUUUUGCUUUUAACAUUAAGGACAAUGCUAGUUUUUAUUGGUGGGGAGGGGGUGUUCCUAUUUGUUUUGGUGACUGGAAUGUAAUUAUUAUACUUAUUUUUCGUUAUUGUUAUUUUUUAGUUUUGGUAUAUAUAUAACUUUACCAUUUAUAUUCACUUUUGGUUAUUUUUCAAUUUCGGUAUAUAUAUAUAUAAAUUUUUCUUUCCAUGUAUAUAUUCGUUCCCCCUUUUGCAUAUUCGUCUCAAUCCCCUAUUGUAAAUAUUCAGUUUACUUUCCAUAUUUUAUUUUAUAAAUUCUUUUGCAAUUUCCCUAAUAGCAUAGCUUCUUAUUUUCAUUUAGUUGUUUCUUUUCCAAUUGUAGCUUCUUGCUUUUAAAAGUUUUCAUGGUCAAUAAGCCUUUGGUUUUCUUAAUACCACGGUUCUUUCUGGAGGUGGAAUCUCUGUGAACCGGGUGGCUCUUCUUAAAGUCCACCCGGUUCACAGAGAUUCCACCUCCAGAAAGAACCGUGUCUAGAACUUGCCCUGAAUGUUUGUAUAUAUAUAUAUAUAUAUAUAUAUAUAUAUAUAUAUAUAUAUAUAUAUAUAUAUAUAUAUAUAUAUAUAUAUNNNNNNNNNNNNNNNNNNNNNNNNNNNNNNNNNNNNNNNNNNNNNNNNNNNNNNNNNNNNNNNNNNNNNNNNNNNNNNNNNNNNNNNNNNNNNNNNNNNNNNNNNNNNNNNNNNNNNNNNNNNNNNNNNNNNNNNNNNNNNNNNNNNNNNNNNNNNNNNNNNNNNNNNNNNNNNNNNNNNNNNNNNNNNNNNNNNNNNNNNNNNNNNNNNNNNNNNNNNNNNNNNNNNNNNNNNNNNNNNNNNNNNNNNNNNNNNNNNNNNNNNNNNNNNNNNNNNNNNNNNNNNNNNNNNNNNNNNNNNNNNNNNNNNNNNNNNNNNNNNNNNNNNNNNNNNNNNNNNNNNNNNNNNNNNNNNNNNNNNNNNNNNNNNNNNNNNNNNNNNNNNNNNNNNNNNNNNNNNNNNNNNNNNNNNNNNNNNNNNNNNNNNNNNNNNNNNNNNNNNNNNNNNNNNNNNNNNNNNNNNNNNNNNNNNNNNNNNNNNNNNNNNNNNNNNNNNAUAUAUAUAUAUAUAUAAAUUUUCUUUCCAUGUAUAUAUUCGUUCCCCCCUUUUUGCAUAUUUGUCUCAAUCCCCUAUUGUCAUGCCAUCCAUGAAUGUCAAGUCCAAUUCUCGUGCCAAUAAGUCUAGAACUUGCCCUGAAUGUUUGUAUAGGCAAAACUCUAAGUGUAGCUCAACUUGUGAAAUGAUUAUAGGCUAUUUUUUAUCCAAAUUUAAACUUGAAAACAUCCAUAUCCUGCCAAAUAUGAUAUCCCAAGUCAACCUCGUUGAGUCGAAGCCCUUGUUCUUUCAAUAACCAUGGUACAAGCCUUUAUCCGUUCUAAAAUGACCCUCUCUUCCUGAUCUUUCCAUAGCACAAUUGGCAAAAGCAUAAGUUUGGGGGGAGAGACAAAGAAUGAAAAAGUGGUAAAAGGUACAACAUGAAGAAAAGUGAAGGCAAAAGAAAAAGAAAGAAAAGCCAAAAAGUCCAAAAGAAAGUGAACAAUAUAGAAAAAUGAAGGGACUCAAUAAAAGCAAUGAUGAAAGGCUUGAAAUGAUUAGAAAGGAGAAUAAAUGUUUGUCAUGAACAAGAAAGAGUGACAAUGUAUCUCUCUAGUACCUAAGGAAGAAGAAAAUGACUCAAAGAGUCAAGGAAGUGUGAGCCAUAAUGAGAAAAUGAAGUGCUAAGGUGAAGAUGAAACCUUCAUUGACCAAUAUAUCAUACCUUGGACCAAAAGACAUCAUUACAUUCCCGCAAAAGACCUAUAUGAUUUUAGGUUGAGUGACCUUACAUUAGUGGUGAUUCACAUAAGGGUCAAGCUUAUGGUACUUAGAGCCGAAAUUGUGACAUUCCCUUGUGAGAGACGACGGUGCUUCUUCAAAAUCCUUGUUUUAAGUCUUUUAAUUCUAAAGUGAGAUUUGCUUAUGGAGAGUGACAAAGAAAGAGUUUGGGUUCCACAAUGACCUACAUAGUAGAGAGAGCUUCCUUGAUGAUGUAAGUCAACUCUUGAUGCUCUUGUGUCGCACUAGAUCCAUCGUGCUUAAAAGGUUGUGGGUUGUUGAUAAUGCAUUUGUGUUGAGGGUAAGUGUUAGUCUCAAUUGAUGCUUGAUGUAGUCACCUUAGUACAACUAAAAUUUUCCUUUCUUUUAUCUUAUGGAGGAGAAAUUACUUUGUUUUCUUGAGGACAAGCGAAAGCUUAAGUUUUGUGGAGUUGAUAACUAUUGAUUCUAGCCUAUCUUAUUCUCUCUUUUGCUUAGGUUUUGGACAAAAAUGUGUAAAAUUAUUCCCAAAAACUAACUUAUUGUGCUUGUUUGUGGGAUUUGGUAAAAAUUAGGUAAGAAAUACACAACCAAAUCAUGAAGGAGUUAAAAUUGCACAAGCUCAAAGCUGAGAUAAAAGCACUGAUAGUGAAGGAAAAGAUCCGCUACAGAAGGUCCACCACUUAAGCAGCCAUAAUUACGCUGACAACAGAGUUGAUAUUUAAAGAAGGUGUUUUCGAUGAAAACAGGGACCGCUGACCGUGAUGAAAUAGCAAGACCGUGAAAUACCUGACGCGGCCAUGGUGCAUAUUCCUCUGAGAGCGUUAAUCAAGUUUCAGAGACCAUGCAAAGUGAACCCAACUGAAGAAUGUGAAGUGCGGCUGCGAUUGAUGCUAACACUAAGGCGGAUUUUUUUAUGCUCCCAACAAAAUCAAGUCCAAACCUAGCACAAGAGAGAAGAAACAUGGUCCGCUCCUACUUUUGCACGACAACAGAAGUCCAAGCGCUAAGGCGCUUAGUAUAGCGCUGAUAGUGAAACCUCCAUAGGGGUGUUUUUGUCCAGUAAUUUUAGCCGUGUAUAAAUAGAUCUUUUUCACACUUUUGGGGUAUCUUUUGUAUCAGGGAGCUCGUGAAUAACCCUACUUUGCCACUUUGAGUAAUUUUAGAGUAGAUUUAGCUUAUAUUCAUAGAUUUUAUUCUUGUAAUCAACUUUUAUGGCUUAUAUUUCAUCUCCCUCUUUGAUUUCUUCUUGAUUAUGACUAGCUAAACCCUUUAGAUAGGGUUGUGACUCAACCCUAGUGUGGGUAUUUAAUGGAUUUUCCAAUUUAUGACUUAGUUGUUUAUCGGUUAGUGAUAUUUAGCUUGAUUCAUACUUUAAUUGUAGAAUUGGUGGUUGCAAACACUGAUUCGUGCCUUUAUGACUUAGACUCUUCUUGAGAAAGAUGGACUAAGUCUAGGAAAAUUAGGCUAACAAGGAAUUGGGGUGGACUCAAGAGAUUGAUAGCCCCAAUUAAAGGGUUAAACCUAGAGAUAGUAAUACCCAACUUGAAUCAAUUUUACUUGCAUUAUUUGAACACCCGAUUGGCUUGAGGAAGCUAUUUAGGGAAAAUUCACUCAAACUACCGAGAGGUAUAGGGUGAGUAAUUUUCUGUAAAGGUUAUAUCACGCCCCGAAAUAUAACAAGCUUGUCCCAAAUUUUGGAUCCCAUUAGAUACUCGCCUAGAUAAAAGUCACUUCCUAAGUGUUUUUUAUCACUUGAUAAAACUUUAUAAAAAUGUUGUAAUUAGUUUAUUUCUACAAUCAAUAGCAUUAAAAGUAAUAUAGUAACAAAUCCAAACAUGGAUAGAAGUGAAAUUAAAAGAAACAUGCAUAUCUAGAUUAGAUAGAAACCCAACUUCCAACCAAUAUUAACUCACUAUGGAAAUUGAUCCCAACCUUAUGGGUAAAAGCUACAUCGACCACAACUUGCCAUUAUAUAGCGGUGUAGGGUUGGAGCCGAUAAAAAACUGAACAAUAUUUACUAAUUUUGGUUUCAAAUACCCCAUUUAGGGUUUCUGUAAUUACCAAUAGCCACAAUCUAGAGAAUUAUAUUUAUAGCCAAAAUAAAAUUCCAAAAACAGCCGACAUUUGGCAAUUAAUCUAGAAACUUACUAAACUUAUGCAAUUAGACUAAUUUUGCACCUAAUUAAAGUAUGCAAGCAAAAAAAUAGUUUAACCUGAUUUAGAUAUUAAUCUGGCAAGUGAAAAAAAACAAAAGGGUAAAAAGAAAAAAAAGAAGGUAUUAAUCCUUAAUCAGUUUCUUCAACAAAAUCAUGCAAUUAGCUAUUAAUUAUAUCAUGCAAAACACAAAACUUAAUUCCAACACAUGCUGACAGAUUUUCUAACAAAUAAAAAAUCAUAAAAAUCAAAGAAGAAGGAGACAACCAAAGAGAACAUUAUUACCUAAAUACAACAAAAAUAUUUUUUGACAAGUGCUUGGCCAACCACGAAGUCCGAAUCUCUCCGAAAUGAUCCGAAAGUAACACUAAUAGAUUGUUCUUUCCAAGGACAACCGAUUGGCAUAAAUUUCGUGCCAAAAUGGGUGUUGAAACUCAAAGAAAAAUUAAAGAAGAAAGAACUAGGGUUUUUCUAUUUUUUAGAUCCGAAAUUGAGGACAUUCAGUGGAAAUGUUAGGGAAGAUGACAAUAGCUUGAUGAUGAGGGGAGGUUGAGGAAUAUAGGGUGUUGAUUUGGGGAAAAUUCGAGAUGUUUGUAUGGUGGCUGCCGGUGGUGAUUUCUGUGGAGGCUUGGGUUCUGAGAGAGUGACAGAUGAGAGAUGAAAGUUAAGAGAUAAGAGAGGGAAGUGAGGGUCAGUUUCUAGGUUUUGGGGAGGGGAACAGUUUUAUGGGUAGGAAGUGGGAGUUCCUAGCUGUUGGAACAAGUUUGAUAAACUGUUGGAUUCAAUCGAAAACUCAUUGUUUCAGUUAUUU